rnacentral:rRNA from 1 species
CGGCGGACGGGUGAGUAACGCGUGGGUAACCUGCCUCAUACAGGGGGAUAACAGUUAGAAAUGGCUACUAAUACCGCAUAAGCGCACAGGACCGCAUGGUCUGGUGUGAAAAACUCCGGUGGUAUGAGAUGGACCCGCGUCUGAUUAGCUAGUUGGAGGGGUAACGGCCCACCAAGGCGACGAUCAGUAGCCGGCCUGAGAGGGUGAACGGCCACAUUGGGACUGAGACACGGCCCAG